AAGAAAUCGAUUUAUAUACCGAGGUUAAUGACAAAUGUAUAUUUAUGAUUAAACUUUUAGUUGAUCUAAAUCCUGUCACAACAAGAUUAAGUGCUAAGAAUAAAGAUGUUUAUUUCCCAAACACAGAAAAGGAUUAUCUUGUUUAUUGCAGCCUUUCUAUUAAGGCACAACCAAGACUAGGAAUAUGCAGUACAGGUGUAAUAACUACAUUACAAGUUCCUUAUC
rnacentral:lncRNA from 1 species